GGUGGUGGUCCACUACAGAAGCAAGCAUUUGAAAAAACAUCAGUUCUCAGUUAUUAAAGAUGCUGUGUUGAACAACUUCCCAGCAGCAACAGAACUGGAAGUGAAGGAUGCAAUGGGGGCAUUUCAAACAGGCACCAGGGAGCACGGGGGGGGGGGGGUAUAGAAAUUAGUACAAUUAAUAAGUUGACGUGAACUGAAGAUAGUUCGUUAAUGUUUAGAUGUUAUUUCAUUUUUAAAAUUGUAUUUUGUUAUAUAUGCUUUUAUUUUGUUACUGUUUUUAUUCUUUUUGUUAAAAGUAGUUUUUCUUCAUUUUGUCUUAUCUGAAUUUCUAUUGUAUUAACAAUAUUUUUUGUAAUAAAUUGCAUGAUUGCAUGUUUAUGAGAACCUUUUUUAAUGGAUUAAAAAGAAUUCUUUAGCCA